CUAGAUUUAUCCUACAUUAUAUUGGUACAGCUCGAUGCAACCUCAAAAAACUGGUUCACCAAUCAGCAUCAUUAGACUGUGACCAGCAUAAAUGAAUAGGAGCUUUAUUUGCACAUUCAAAACAUUUCCCAUAAACAAAUUUAAAAGGUAAAUGUAUGUAUGUAUGUAUAAACCGAUGAUAUUGGUUGGCAUUA